rnacentral:rRNA from 1 species
AUUGAACGCUAGCGGCAUGCCUAACACAUGCAAGUCGAGCGGCAGCGAGUCUGUAGUAAUACAGAUGUCGGCGAGCGGCGUACGGGUGAGUAAAAUAUAGGAAUCUGCCUUGAGGUAGGGGAUAACUUGGGGAAACUCAAGCUAAUACCAUAUGAGAUCUACGGAUGAAAGCAGGGGAUCGUAAGACCUUGCGCCUUAAGAUGAGCCUAUAACGGAUUAGCUAGUUGGCGGGGUAACGGCCCACCAAGGCGACGAUCCGUAGCUGGUCUGAGAGGACGAUCAGCCACACUGGGACUGAGACACGGCCCAGACUCCUACGGGAGGCAGCAGUGGGGAAUAUUGGACAAUGGGGGAAACCCUGAUCCAGCGACGCCGCGUGGGUGAAGAAGGCCUGCGGGUUGUAAACCUCUUUCAGUAGGGAAGAAGCGAAAGUGACGGUACCUACAGAAGAAGCACCGGCUAACUAUGUG